UUUGCAAACUUUUACUGGCAGUUCAUCCCCACGUUUGCCCAGAUAACCCUGCCCAUCACCAACUUGCUCAAGAUGGGAGGGAGAGUGAAGCCCAAACUGAGUCAGCCACUAAAUUGGUCCCUUGAAAGUCAAAUGGCCUUCAAAAAGCUGAAACGGCUCUUUGCUGCUGAUUCAGUCUUGAAGCACCCAAACGCAGAUGAGUCUUUCUGAUCCAAGCAGAUGUCAGCGAUGUGGCAAUAGGGGUGGUUUUACUUCAGAGGAACUAAAAGGGAAAGUUGCAAUCAUGUUCCUACAUAUCUUGCAAGUCUGAUACUGAGAGGAGGUGGGCCAUCUGGGAGAAGGAGGCUUACGUGGGCUCUUCUCACCUGGAGGCAGUUCUUAGUGGGCAGUAAGAUUCCAUUCGAAGUUGGGCGGACCACAAGAACCUGGAGGCAUUAAAGGCACCAAGGAAGCUAUCCCCUAAGUAUGGGCUCAGUAUUUUAACCAUUCAAACCUGGGAUCUGGUUUGAGGCCAGUCAAAGAACCAUUUCCUGCUCCCAUCCUAGUUAAGGGAGAGGAGCACUAUGACAUCAAAAGGAUUCUAGAUUCCAGAUAUCACAAGGGAAAAUUACAGUACCUAGUACUGUGGAAAGGCUACCCAUUAGCAGAAGCUGAGUGGGCAGCUGCUCCAGAUGUUAGGGCAGUGAGGUCUACCCUUCUUCCAGGGGGGUCAGCAUGUCAAGACUGAUUAGAACUUUCACCUAUAUUCCGCUUCGCAUGCAGCUUGACAAAGAAUAGGAUGGUUGUGGAUUGGAAUGCAAGGGUGGGGGAGAAUAGCAUCCAAGCAUUGUUGGUUCCUGUGAGACAUUGCUGUCCCCUCAAGGACACCCUGAGCAGAUGUCCCAGCGGGGCUGGCCAGUUCCAAUAAUAAAAUAAAAGAAGUGAUUGGUAGACAUAAUAGACUGUGGGUGGCCCGUGGGGAAAAGGGGGAAUGAACUAUGCAUGCUUUUGCAUGGGAAGCCCAAAGCUGGUUUUGUUUCUUCUGUGCCAAUGUGAAUUUAUUCAGUAAAGUUUGUACUCUUGGUAAAAUAA